GCCGCCGCAGUGAAAGUGCAUGAGGAAAGUGAAUGUUUUGCUCCUGAUGUGAUUCACUGACUGCAGGUACCACUGGUAGAGAGAGAGAGAGUCUCCGCCAGCAGCUAAGUUUACAAGAAUGUGCCAAAUUUUAAGGCGAUAUCAAUCACCAACGUAAAGCUGACUAGAGGUCAAACGGAGCUCAGCAGAGACAAAAGCUAUUACCAUAAUUCACGGUCUGCCGCGUACCUGGAGAGCAGAGCUGCUGUGAACAGUCUGGGACACAUCGGACAGAGGAACAAAACACGAGAGGGGACAGGAAGGAUAAUCAGUGGUGGAAGAAGUACUCAGAUCCUUUUCUCAAGUAAAACGACCAAUAUAACAAUGUAAAAAUACUUUGUUACAAGUAAAGUUCCUGCAUUGUGUGCAUGCAAAAAACAGAAGUAUUAUCAACAUAAUGUAUCAAGUAUCAAAAGUAAAAAUGUCUCCUGUGAUUAAUAUAAUAGAUUUGUAUAUUACAUUAUGAUGCAUCAAUGUGUAAGUAGCAUUUUGCUGUUGCAUCUGCUGGAGGUGGAGCUAGUAUUAACUACUUCAUAUACAGUUUUCAUCCAAAUUUAGCACAAAUGUGAACCAAAUUUCCUGAAAAUCUACAAAAAUUAAAAUGAAUUCACAUUUCAAUCCUUUUCUGUUAUGUGAAUAUUAGUACAGAGUUGGGUGCAUCGAAAUGAACUGAAGAAGGACGUAAAACAGAAGCAAUGCAUUAAAACAUUUUUUUUAAUUAUGUGAUAUACUGACAUCCGGGAUGUUAUGAACUGAUUAUUUACAGUGCAAACAACCCAAGUCUGAAUAUGGAAAACAAUGAGCACAAAAAAUGGGCUGGGCUGUGGAACAUUUGUUCAUCUUGGCAGGUUCUCCAUUGACCUCAGGCGUAGAUCUGUUGUGCUUGAAUGUAGCAUGGUUAUGAAAGCACUUCUCACCAGAGCUCUGUACUACAGCAGCAAAAAAGGCUCCGAUGAA